rnacentral:tRNA from 1 species
UUAGGUGGCCGAGCACAUUAAGCAUUAGACUUUUAAUCUAACCACGAUACCUUGUAUCCCUGAC